CAGCUACAAGCUCCGCUCAUGCGCAGCUCAGAAAUGAACGAGCUCUGGCUUGAGCAAGACGCUAACUUUGGUCAUCUCUCUAUUAGUCCACAGUGGCUACACAGUGCUCCCUAGCCUGUGUAACCUUUGCUGCCGGUCCAGAUUACCCCUAGGUCUGGCGCCGGUAAGACAUGUGGAAUGGCAGUGAGGUCCCAGAACAGAGACAUGCUGCCAAACAUAACUUACAGAAGAAAAAAUAUCUGUUUCUUUCAUGAAAGUUGUCCUGACUGAAAUCACUUCACUAUUUUUCACCAAAAUCUAUCAUGGCGAACAUUUAGGGUUCAAGGAGCUUUUUUUUGUAGAGCACAAUGAGCUGGACUUGUAUGAAAAGUUUCAGGUUGAUUGGGCUUAUGGUAUAAGGGGCAUGGAAUUUUUGGGUCUUAAUCACAACGUCACCAUCUGGCCAAUCGGGCUCAUAUUGCUGGUGAAGCACUUGCACUUCAUUUCAAGUUACUGGGCCAGGUUUUGUGUUCUAGCUCAUUACAGCUCAUGGCAAUUUGAGCCAAGGCAGAAGACAACAAAUUAUACAUACAACACACAGAAAAGUAUUUAGUCAGUCAAUCUCAGGCUCUGCUAAGGAGAUGAUUUUACCUAAUUUUACCCAUAGGUGGGAAUAAACCCCAAAGCUGUAAUAUUGCACAAUACAUUUUACAUUGUGGUCUAAUGCUGCUGCUGCCUCACAGUUGUGCCUGGAUCUGGAUUUACAUUUUUUUUCCUGACAAAAGGAAUAAACCAUUAUUCAUUGUUU